CAGUAGCCGCGGUAAUACGUAGGGGACAAGCGUUAUCCGGAAUAACUGGGCGUAAAGGGUGCGCAGGUGGUUUAACAAGUUAGUGGUGAAAGGCAUAGGCUCAACCAAUGUAAGCCAUUAAAACUGUUUAACUUGAGUGCAGGAGAGGAAAGUGGAAUUCCUAGUGUAGCGGUGAAAUGCGUAGAUAUUAGGAGGAAUACCAGUGGCGAAGGCGACUUUCUGGACUGCAACUGACACUGAGGCACGAAAGCGUGGGGAGCAAACAGGAUUAGAUACCCCCGUAGUCCCUGUCUCUUAUACA
rnacentral:rRNA from 1 species